rnacentral:rRNA from 1 species
AUGAACGCUGGCGGCGUGCCUAAUACAUGCAGGUCGAGCGAACGGACGAGAAGCUUGCUUUUCUGAUGUUAGCGGCGGACGGGUGAGUAACACGUGGAUAACCUACCUAUAAGACUGGGAUAACUUCGGGAAACCGGAGCUAAUACCGGAUAAUAUUUUGAACCGCAUGGUUCAAAAGUGAAAGACGGUCUUGCUGUCACUUAUAGAUGGAUCCGCGCUGCAUUAGCUAGUUGGUAAGGUAACGGCUUACCAAGGCAACGAUGCAUAGCCGACCUGAGAGGGUGAUCGGCCACACUGGAACUGAGACACGGUCCAGACUCCUACGGGAGGCAGCAGUAGGGAAUCUUCCGCAAUGGGCGAAAGCCUGACGGAGCAACGCCGCGUGAGUGAUGAAGGUCUUCGGAUCGUAAAACUCUGUUAUUAGGGAAGAACAUAUGUGUAAGUAACUGUGCACAUCUUGACGGUACCUAAUCAGAAAGCCACGGCUAACUACGUG